GACAGAGGGUGCAAACGUUGUUCGGAAUUACUGGGCGUAAAGCGCGUGUAGGCGGCUAUGCAAGUCGGAUGUGAAAUCCCGCGGCUCAACCGUGGAAGUGCAUCCGAAACUGCGUGGCUAGAGUCCCGGAGAGGAAGGUGGAAUACUUGGUGUAGAGGUGAAAUUCGUAGAUAUCAAGUGGAACACCGGUGGCGAAGGCGGCCUUCUGGUCUAACCCUGACGCUGAGGAGCGAAAGCUAGGGGAGCAAACGGGAUUAGAUACCCGUGUAGUCCCU
rnacentral:rRNA from 1 species